rnacentral:lncRNA from 1 species
AUUUUCACAGUUGCCUAUACACCAAGCUACUAGGAUGACCAGGAUAAGAGGCUCAACUCAGGCUGAGUUACCCCAAACCCUCUAUCAGAAAAAUGAGAAAAUGGAAAGAUGAAGAAGCUAAUAAUUUAUUCAAGAUCAAACUGCCAAGAAGUGACCAAACUACCUUGGAUUCAGAUCCAAAUCGGCUGGACUUCCCCACUUACGCUUAUGACCGCUGAGCCACGCCACCUUCCCAAGUUCAUCCAGUGCUCUCUCAACUCUGUCAAACUGGCUUCCCUGAAAUAAUUUGUAUUUCUUAUCCACAGUGGGAUAAAUUAGAGAAACCAUAGCCAGGUGUGUAAGUGGAAAGAUUGACUAAUAGACAUCUGAUAGAGCAAACAGCCUAAGUCUGCAAUAUCUCUCUCAGGUCUGUCUUUAUUCAAGUGUAUGAGAUGGUGGUAAUCAUCAAUGUUCCCCAGUAUCAGUACCUAAUAUUUAAAAGGGUUAUCACGUUGGGCCAUACGUUUGGGCUUGAUGAUUCACAGGAGGUGAAGAGAACUUCAACUCUCAAUUGCAAUCCCAAUGCAUUUGUCAUGAUGCUGAGUUACACAGAACUAGGGCACAUGUAAAAUAAAUACCUCUUUUUGUUCCAAGCCUUGUGAGCAUUUUUCUUGAUGCAUUUGGAUUUCUCCAGUAAGAAAAUGACAAUGUAAAGCCAUUCUUUACAUUCAAUGUUGUGAGUUUGAACAAAGGGCUGUGAG